rnacentral:rRNA from 1 species
AUUGAACGCUGGCGGCAUGCUUUACACAUGCAAGUCGAACGGUAACAGGCCGCAAGGUGCUGACGAGUGGCGAACGGGUGAGUAAUGCAUCGGAACGUGCCCAGUCGUGGGGGAUAACUACUCGAAAGAGUAGCUAAUACCGCAUACGAUCUAUGGAUGAAAGCGGGGGACCGUAAGGCCUCGCGCGAUUGGAGCGGCCGAUGUCAGAUUAGGUAGUUGGUGGGGUAAAGGCUCACCAAGCCAACGAUCUGUAGCUGGUCUGAGAGGACAACCAGCCACACUGGGACUGAGACACGGCCCAGACUCCUACGGGAGGCAGCAGUUGGGAAAUUUGGACAAAGGGCGGAAGCCUGAUCCAGCAAAGCCGCGGGGAGGAAGAAGGGCUUCGGGUUGUAAACUGCUUUUGUGCGGAACGAAACGGCUCUGGUUAAUACCCGGGGCUAAUGACGGUACCGUAAGAAUAAGCACCGGCUAACUACGUG